AGAAGUGGAGAGGAUUGGAGUUUGCCAUCAAGCAGGAUCAGAUAGCCUCCUUACUGCCUGUACUUUCAGGAAGUUAAGGGAUACUUUUUUCAAUGGUUCUACACAGAAAUAUGCAGGUGUUUUAUACGGUCUCGGUGUUGAAACUGGUCAGACUACUAAUUGAAGACACUUGCCGAGUGUUUGUAGCAUUGUGAAAUUUGGCUAAAGCAUUGAUGGGUUGUAUCUGUUUUUCUUUUUCCCUUGUAAAUUAUGGCAGUUGGCAG
rnacentral:misc_RNA from 1 species